GCCAGUGUGGCAUAGUGGUUUGCGUGUUGGACUAUGGCUCUGGAAACCAGGGUUCGAAUCUCCACUGAGUCA
rnacentral:tRNA from 1 species